rnacentral:rRNA from 1 species
UACGUAGGGUGCAAGCGUUAAUCGGAAUUACUGGGCGUAAAGCGUGCGCAGGCGGUUGUGCAAGACAGAUGUGAAAUCCCCGGGCUUAACCUGGGAAUUGCAUUUGUGACUGCACGGCUAGAGUGUGUCAUGAGGGGGUAGGAAUUCCACGUGUGAGCAGUGAAAUGCGUAGAUAUGUGGAGGAAUACCGAUGGCGAAGGCAGCCCCCUGGGAUAACACUGAGCGCCUCAU